GCACCAUUGCAAAGGGGAGUCAGCUCAGUGCUGUGCUCAGGGCGGGGAUUUGGGAUUCACCAGGGCACAAGGCGACGUGCCUCUCUCCUCACGGAGCCUAAGCGCUGGUGGACAAUGCAGAUGUCAACCGCAAAUGAUGAGGCACUUGCAGGUAGGGUUCAGCACCAAGAAGGAAAUGAAGGGUGCGUGUCGCUGACUGUGACUCUGGUGGGGGCAACUUAAAUAGGGCCAUGGGGGAGGGCCUCUCUGAGGAGGUGACAUUUGAGCUGAGGCCUCACCAGUCAGAAGGAAAAAGCUGUAAAGGGUCUGGGAUAAACUCAACCUGCAGACUUUUAAAAUAAUA
rnacentral:lncRNA from 1 species